AUUGAACGCUAGCGGGAUGCUUUACACAUGCAAGUCGAACGGCAGCGCGGACCUCGGUCUGGCGGCGAGUGGCGAACGGGUGAGUAAUGUAUCGGAACGUGCCCAGUAGCGGGGGAUAACUACGCGAAAGCGUAGCUAAUACCGCAUACGCCCUACGGGGGAAAGCAGGGGAUCGUAAGACCUUGCACUAUUGGAGCGGCCGAUAUCGGAUUAGCUAGUUGGUGAGGUAACGGCUCACCAAGGCGACGAUCCGUAGCUGGUUUGAGAGGACGACCAGCCACACUGGGACUGAGACACGGCCCAGACUCCUACGGGAGGCAGCAGUGGGGAAUUUUGGACAAAGGGGGCAACCCUGAUCCAGCCAUCCCGCGUGUGCGAUGAAGGCCUUCGGGUUGUAAAGCACUUUUGGCAGGAAAGAAACGUCGCGGGCUAAUACCCCGUGGAACUGACGGUACCUGCAGAAUAAGCACCGGCUAACUACGUG
rnacentral:rRNA from 1 species